CGGAAUGUAGCUCAGCUUGGUAGAGCGCUGCGUUCGGGACGCAGAGGUCGUGGGUUCAAAUCCCGUCAUUCCGACCA
rnacentral:tRNA from 1 species